CCGGCGUCACAGACGGUCUUUACAAGCGACUCGUGGGCGUCAAUACUGGGCUGAGUUUGUGGCGCGCUUAGUGAUGGGAUGGCCCUGUGCAGGACGCCGACACGAAAAGAUGAAGAGUUCAAUCCGUGCUGUCUGAACUCACAGUGUAGCAGGCGAGAUAGACGGGAAGAUCGGUAGGGUGGGAGAUGCCGGAAAGGCUUCCCGUGAGACUGGAUAAGAAAUCAAAAAUCUGGUGAAAUUGCCGGCAAGAGGGAGUUAAGGACAUUCCAGGCAGAGGCAAGUUGGUCCUUGCUGGCUGAUCCAGCUUCCCCGUCAGCAUAUGGUGAGCAGUUCGGUGAGAGGACCACACUUCCAAUACUGGCAGAUGAAGCCAGAUACUCCUCUAUGAAGUUAAAUGACUGGUUCAGUGUUAACACUGCUAGUGAGCGACAGAGAUGGAAUUUGAACGCACACCUGUCUGACUCCACCUCGUGUUCCUUCCACAUGGCCAGCAAGCUCUGCUGUCCCACCUCGCACUUCUGGGAGGUGGCUACUCCCUCUUUCCACCCCCUUUUCUGGAUCUUGACAAGGGAUUCUACCCUGCCCCAGCUGUCAAAGCCUGCAGCAGCUGCCAAAAAACCUCAACACAGGCAUACUUUGGACCUACAUCAUGUGUUGAUGUCACAGAUGCUGUACCAGGCAUUUGACUCCUUGAUCUAAAGCCAGGAUUCCUAGCCAACAUGGCGAAACCCUGUCUCUACUAAAAAUAACAAAAAUUAGCUGGGCAUGGUGAUAGGCACCUGUAAUCCCAGCUACUUGGGAGGCUGAGGCAGGAGAAUUACUUGAACCCAGGAAGCGAAGGCUGCAGUGAGCAGAGAUUGUGCCUCUGCACUACAGCCUGGGCUAUGGAGUAAGACUCUGUCUCAAAAAAAAAAAAAAAAAAAAAAUAGUGAGGGGGAUGCAUGCCCACACAAAGGAAUCCUGAUAGAGGAACAAUGGCUUGGUCCGUUUCCCCUCCUGUGUAGCACUGUGAUAAAGGAAAGCCUUUCAGCUUUUCCAGAGUCCUUAGUCUGAGGAAAAAAACGCUGUGUGCUCGUGUUAUUCCCAUUUUACAAGUGAGCAGAUGCAGGGAGAGAAAGGCAAAAUAACUCACCCAGGACCACAUGGUUUGUGAGUGGCAGCGCUGGGAUUCUGGCCAGCAGUCAUAGUCCACACUCUUAACCACGGCCCUCUGCUGGGCAACUAGAAAUUGUGUGUGAUUUGUGCUCUACUUGGGGAGCCAGAGCCUGUUGGGGGGUCCUGGGAGGGCAUGGUUGGCUAUGGGACAGACCAUUCAACGAUGUUGUUUGAGGAGCCUUGUCAGGUCUUAAGCAUACCAAAGUACUGUAUUGCAUGCCUCCACCUGCCCUGGGACUAGGACAGGUCACACCCUGCAAAGGAUUCGAGUGGAAACGAUGAAUAGACCCCUGCACACCCAUGUGCAUCAGUGGAGGACUGUGGAUGCCACGUGCCCCCACUCCUCCCUCCCCAAAGCUGCUUUCCAGGCAUCUUCCAGGUGGGGAAAUGGCCAUUCCCCUCAGCCCAGAGCAGACUUAGCCUGCCCUUGAAUGCUGCCAAAAAAAAGAAAGGGCUAAAUGUGUCCCCUGUUCUAUUCCUAGUCCAGAUUCCUAAGAUGAGGACACAGCAUCCUGGGCCACUGUCACUAAUACAAAUUUGCCUCUGGAGGGACUCUACGGAAGAUAAUUCCCCUGAAAUUUGGAGAGUUGAAUUAAGCUAGGACUGAUUCUGGCUGGAAUUUGUGGUGGCUACGUACCCUAGAGGGCCUCAAGGAAACCCACGGUUCAAGACAGCCCUGACAGAUUCUGGAGUCUAGAACAGAAAUGGAUUUGAACAUGGGCAAGGCCAACCACCCAGUUCACGGCCUGUGUACAGCAAAGAUUACGUUACAGCCUGAGAGCUAAGCCUGGAAGCUCUUUCAUCCAUCCGUUUGUCCAUCUAUCCAUCCAUCUGCUCAUCCAUCCCUCCAUCUGCUCAACAAACGUUAGAGAAUCAAUCCUUGUGUCAGAUACUGGGGCUGCCCUCAAGGAGCUUUUAUAGAGUUCAGGGUACAGCCAGGUGGGGGAGACAGAUCACUAUAAAAACCUACCACUAUAAUCCAAAGGACAAGAGCAAAAAUAGUAAAGAGGAGAGAAGACCCAAAUUUGCCUGGUGGGUCAGAGAGGGCUUUCUAGAAGAGGUAAAAAAUCUUCGGGGCUAUCACUUCACCUUGCCUGGUGGAUAAAGGGAGGACUUUCCAGAUACAGUGGACAGAAUGUGCAGAGGCAGGAGCCAUGAGUGGCAGAGGCAGGGGAGGGACUGCAGAGACAGGUUGGAGCCAAAGCACGUGGCACUGGAGCCAUAGCCAAAGGAACAAACUGUGAGACCUGGGACUUGAAUUUGGAGGUGGUGAAAAGUGACAAGGUCUUCACAGAAGAGUGAUUUUUUCAACUUAGGGAAGGCUGACCCCAGACCAAUGCUGCCAAAGUGUGGUCUGUGGGCUGUUAGCAGUUCGUGACGAUGUAAGUACAGGAAUUGAGAUUAAGCAUUUAGAACACCUACAGCACUUUGAUAGUCAUUUUACUUUUUAAAUUUUGAGCUGGCAUUUUAUAUGCCUGGUUUUUUUUUGUUUUUGUUUUUUUAUUUUUUUUGAGACAGUCUCGCUCUGUCGCCCAGGCUGGAGUGCAGUGGCGCGAUCUCUGCUCACUGCAAGCUCCGCCUCCCGGGUUCACGCCAUUCUCCUGCCUCAUCCUCCCAAGUAGCUGGGACUGCAGGCGCCUGCCGCCUCGCCCAGCUAAUUUUUUGUAUUUUUAAUAGAGACGGGGUUUCACCAUGUUAGCCAGGAUGGUCUCAAUCUCCUGAUCUCGUGAUCUGCCCGCCUUGGCCUCCCAAAAUGCUGGGAUUACAGGUGUGAGCCACCACGCCCAGCCUUAUUCUCUUUUUCUAAUAGUUGCACUUUAUCAUAUUUUACAAAUGUGUGAGUCUGCUAUGGAUUAGAAAUUAAUAAGAGAUUUUGCCACAGAUAGUUUGAGAAGCCCAGCACUGCCACUCAACAAAUGCUGGUGCAUUCAGAUGGUGAAAUAUUCUGCAGCUAUUAAAGGAGUUAAAACUGCCUCCACUUACCUGGAGGCCCAUCUGUGACACCUUUUUAGGUUAAAAGGAAAAGAAAAACUUGCUUAGGACUGAAUAUGAGCGGUUGCAAUUUGUAACAAUGAUGUAUAUAUACAUAUACAUUUUCAUGUAUUUGUAUGAACAUAAAAGUAUUGAAGGAUAUUCAUCAAACUGCUAAAAGGGUUGCUUCAGAGUAACGGACUCGGAGAAGGCAGAUUAAUUUUCUCUUAAUGGAACUCUGUAUUGUAUCACUUGUAAAAAUAAGCAUGUGUUAUCUUUAUGAUAAAAAAGUAAAAACCUAAAAAAGAAAAUUUUGAUGUGUGUUAAAAUUUUGGAUUUCUAGGCUCCACCUUUUUUGAAUGAGUCUCUCCAAGAGUGGGGCCCUCACAUGUAUAAUGAGAAAAAGCUCCCCGAUUACAGGAUGUUACCAAGCCCCGCUAGGUGUAGGAACCCUGCUUGGUACCCACCCGAGCCUCAGCAGCUCCUCCCCAUCAUGGGCAUGAUGAGGUCUCCCUGUGAGGUGUUGUGAAGACGACGGGACAGGCUGCAGUAGGCACUGAAUAAAUGAGUCCCUUCCCCUGAUGACCCUAAGGCUAUGGGAUCAUCAUCACUCCCUCCCCAAAGCCACACCUGAUUAUUCCAGCCAGCACUCGGCCUGCCCCUUUUCUGAAUGCUUUUUGAUUUUAACUUACAUUUUUCGCAUUUAAAUGUUUCAUUUAAUUUGAGAAAGAGUCUCGCUCUGUCACCCAGGCUGGAGUGCAGUGGUGCGAUCUCAGCUCACUGCAGUCUCCACCUCCUGGGUUCAAGCAAUUCUCCUGCCUCAGCCUCCCAAGUAGCUGGGAUUACAGGCGCCCACCACCACAUGUGGCUAAUUUUGUACUUUUAGUAGAGAUGGGAUUUUGCCAUGUUGGCCGGGCUGGUCUCGAACUCCUGACCUCAAGUGAUCCACCUGCCUCAGCCUCCCAAAGUGCUGGGAUUAGAGGUGUGAACCACCACAGCUGCCUUCUUUUAAUUUGUAUUUUCUAUCUCUGCGGACAAGACUUCAAAGGUGUCUAUCACAUACUUUCAGAUCUACUGAUCAUCCUCUGAAAACCAACAUCGGGGUUCACAAAAUGGAUUUAACCAAUUGGGCUCCCCAGUUCUUCUUCCAGACUCCACCCCUCCAACAGUGUCUCCAAUGACUUCCUGGCAUCACUGAACAGGUCCUUCACUUUGCCACCUCUGAGCCUUUGCUUGAGUGUUUUCUUUCCCCUGGAAUAUCCUUUCCAACCCUAUACACCGACUGAGUCAAACCUUCUGUCUUCUUUUUGAGCAUUUAUGAGCUCCUAUCAUGAGCCAUGCAUUAUGUAAGGGACCUUACAAACACAAUCAGUCUAUGUAACAAUCCUGCCAAGUAUGCUUUAUUUUGGGCAUGGGGAAACAGAGGCUCAAGAGAAGUGACCUGCCCCAGGUUUCAGUGCCAGCACACUAGUAGAGCUGGGAUUUGAACCCAGGUUUGUCUUUUGCACUGGAUUCAGCUUCCUUGCAGACCGCAGCACCUCACAUACAGCCCUUCACUGACCAGCAAUUGGAGGGAAACCACCCCUGUGGCUUAAAACCUGUGGUGCCACAGAUCAUUCCACUCAGUCAAACCCCCAAGACCGUAGAAGUGCAUUUAACACAGCAGCUCCUAGGCACAGGAUUGUCACCUCAGGGCAUAUGACUUCUAAAGUUGCAGAUUAUAAACUUGUUCUCUUUCCCUGUCCUCAG
rnacentral:tRNA from 10 species